rnacentral:rRNA from 1 species
AACGAACGCUGGCGGCAUGCCUAACACAUGCAAGUCGAACGAGACCUUCGGGUCUAGUGGCGCACGGGUGCGUAACGCGUGGGAACCUGCCCUUAGGUUCGGAAUAACUCCCCGAAAGGGGUGCUAAUACCGGAUAAUGUCUUCGGACCAAAGUUUUAUCGCCUUUGGAUGGGCCCGCGUUGGAUUAGCUAGUUGGUAGGGUAAAAGCCUACCAAGGCGACGAUCCAUAGCUGGUCUGAGAGGAUGAUCAGCCACACUGGGACUGAGACACGGCCCAGACUCCUACGGGAGGCAGCAGUGGGGAAUAUUGGACAAUGGGCGAAAGCCUGAUCCAGCAAUGCCGCGUGAGUGAUGAAGGCCUUAGGGUUGUAAAGCUCUUUUACCCGGGAUGAUAAUGACAGUACCGGGAGAAUAAGCGCCGGCUAACUCCGUG